rnacentral:rRNA from 1 species
GGGAAUUUAAACCUCUUCCAGAGUAUCAAUUGGAGGGCAAGUCUGGUGCCAGCAGCCGCGGUAAUUCCAGCUCCAAUAGCGUAUAUUAAAAUUGUUGCAGUUAAAAAGCUCGUAGUUGAAUUUCUGCUGCAUUGCUUUUGCUCCUUUACGAGUCUUUGCAUUGUGGCUUAUUUCGGACUUUGUUUUACAAUGUCCGGAUGUUUACUUUGAGAAAAUUAGAGUGCUCAAAGCAGGCUUUCGCCUUGAAUAGUUUAGCAUGGAAUAAUAAAGUAGGACUUUGGUUCUAUUUUGUUGGUUUUAGGUACCAAAGUAAUGGUUAAUAGGAACAGUUGGGGGCAUUCGUAUUUAACUGUCAGAGGUGAAAUUCUUAGAUUUGUUAAAGACGAACUACUGCGAAAGCAUUUGCCAAGGAUGUUUUCAUUAAUCAAGAACGAAAGUUAGGGGAUCGAA